UCUCAUUGUCACAUAUACGCGCUUAGUUUACUAACAAGUUGGCUCAGUUGUCAAUUUUCUUUAAAUAGAGUUCCAAUACUGUUACCAUGCAUGGAAUUCAAUGAAUUGUGACUAAAAUAUACCACUACAAGCCUUUAAAUCUGGUUUUAAAUAUACGCGAUGAAAUUCAGCCGGAUUUUAGCUAUUUCCUAACACACGCAUACGCAAGCAUUGAUAACACAGUACACGCAAAUUAUCUGUGUGCAACGAAAUUGCUAAAGGACCUAAAAUGUGUGAAGAACUUAUGAAAAUUGACUGCGUACACAGCUUGAUGAUGUCUACAAGUUGAAUUAAGUUAAAUUUAAGGUAAUGGUAUUACUUCAACAGACAAUCUUUGACAAUAUAGAUUGGGACAAUCUAGUUUUCACAUGCAUUCGGUUGUAGUAUACCAUUUGCUGAUACAUAUUUUCCACCUUCCCUCCCCCCACCCGUUUCAAUGUUGGCGCCGCGCAUCCAGACAUCAGAUUUUUGUUGGCCCAACAUUGAACUGGGGGAACGGGGGGCGCUAUUCCUUUCAAAAUAUAUGAAAUUACAGCAGCUGUCCCAUAGUUUCUGGCAAAGAUUGUAGAUA